rnacentral:pre_miRNA from 18 species
CGAGUCAAUGCCGUUUAAGUGAAUGCUUUGCCACAGUCUUCGAUCAUGUCACAUGAAGCCUGGGCUUAGAUUCACUUAGGCCGGCGUUCCUUGACUCA